GGAAAGGCACACCUCCGCCCCAGGCCGCCUCGUGCUUAUGGCGCCGCCCCAGUCUUCCAAAUAGCUAACCUCGAACUAGGUGGGUCACUACCGCGCGAAGGCAAAUGACCUUCAAGGUCAGAAGCAAGCAAACCGUGGUCUCAACUCUCAGCUGGAAGUUGCCGGGAGAUCACUGUCGCUAGUGCCUGACAAGACGCGGCCCUCUGCGCCACCCCGUGGGAACCAAGGGUACCAAAACCUCCCGGGGAGACCGGCCUUGGACAAGAGAACGUUCCUCGCAAGCGGAUUUUUUUCCUCAUAUCGCUCUUUUUAAAGACUUUGUCUCUCUUGUCUCCCAAUCAAGAGAAUGAUUUGACUCUACCUUGUCCAUCCUAUCUACGCCCCGCUACCCCAACAGUUGAUUGCAUCCAUGGACACAGAGCCCAAGGAUACAGAGGGCCUUGACUUUGAAUAAAUGAGACAGACCGAAGUAGCCUUUGGUUCAUCCAGGAACGUCCCAUCCUCUGGACCUUCAGGACUGUAUCAUUGGGAGCAGAAAGGGCCAGGAGUGCCACACUAAGAAACAACCACCGGCAGGAACAGACUUGAAAUGGAAGCUGGGCUUGCUCUGAGGCCCUCGGCUGACAGUGACCACACCUGCUGGGUGCUGAGGGCGGUGCACAGGGAACAGAUGGCCUCUGCAUCUUCGGGGCUUUUCUUCUUUAACUGCAGGAGCUGGGCUGCUUGGAUCAGAGGUUCCAUGGUCUCAGCAACUUCCCUCUGGUGCAGGUUUCUUCCCCGAAGCCACUCCUCCAGCUGACUUAUAUUGUACCUUAGACACAGGAAAAGUGAGCUCUGUUAAACCUGGCCUCCUACUUCACUGGGAAGAGCUCACCUCUUGUGUUUAUUUUGCAGGCCAGCUGCCAUUAGUGUUAUCAUUCUCCUCAUCUUAAUUGUCCCACAUGGGCAAAAGCGUGAAAAGUACCUGGCACUCAAUAACUUUUUGUGAAAUGAGUGGGUGCUUAAAAUCAAGCCAAGAUGAAGUAUCUAAAGUGUCUGUACUAAGUUAAUGAGAAAAAAAGGCAUUAACUGUAUUGAAUUAAAACUUAACAUUUAACAUUCGCAAACAUGUUCGUACUUCUCUGUGAGCCUUCGUGCCUCUUAAGUCAUUAAUUUUUCUCUCUGACCUAUCCACCUCAUAUUUACAAUCUUCAUAUUAAAGUAUGUAAAUGUGUUUAAGCUCUGAACUAAUUUGUUUACCGGGUCACCAUCUCAGUGUGUGAUGAAUUUCACCAACCAAUAAAAAGGUGAUGGAUCUGAGUCACAUACUGACUGUGACAAGGACGAUCAGUUGCAUUUGGAUUUCAGUUUCAGAGACAAGUGUCCCGUGCCCGAUGGGGCUGGUGUGUGCCAGGCCAAGGCGCCUCUCGUACCUGAGCUGCAUGCCUGUGCUCCAGGAGCAGACGUCCUUCCUCAGAAGCAGGUUGUUGAGAGUCACCGCGUUGAUCAUGUAGAAGAGCUGUUUGAACACCUGCAGGAUGAUCUCGGGGUCCAGGCCCUGGUCGCACAUGACUGUGUGGAAGGAAUUCAUCUGGCGGAUGACGGCUUCCAGGCAGUAGGAGUUAUCUCCAUCCGCCAGGCUGGAGGUGCGCUUCCGGUAGCCCGUGGGCUUCACCCCAGACAGACCCUGAAUGCUCUCGUUCUCCAACAUGGCAGACACUGAAAGAAAAGCAUGAUUAGAGAAGCUGCAUGUUCCCAAAGAAGAUCUGUUUUCGGGUCACUGAGAUCACACAGUACUCAGGGCUUUGGCAGUGAUCCCACCCAGAGGUGAACAAGGUCGACGUGCUCAGGAACUUACAACAUUUGGCAUGGAAUUUCUAACCUGUUGAUUUCUACACAGAAUAGGACUUCCACAUAGAAAUCUCGGACUAAACCUGUGGACCACAUUUUUGCGUAAAUUUAUUGGUGAUGGGACAGAGGUAAAAGGCACGUACCGACUUAAUUCUGUUCUGGCUUCUGUGCUGAGAGACCAGAAUGGAGCAACUUGGGUGUAGUCAUGGCCCAGCCACUGCCCUGGGCCUGGACCCUGAGAUCAGCCUAUAGGUGUUCAAAUAGCUUUUCUCCAUCAGCCACCGACCAUGUAAAUCCUAGGUGAGCUGGUCUGUCAUACUUACUGCCCAGCACUUAACUACAGGUCAGGCACUUUAUAUUCAGUAUUCCUUUUAAUCUUCCAACAACCCAUUUCCUAAUGAGGAAACUGAGGCAUAAAGAGGUUAAAUAACUUGCCCAAGGUCACCCUGCUAGGAAGUGGCAGGGCCAGGAUUUGAACCCAGGUAUGUCUGAUUCCAGAACUGAUGCUGUUAACCAUCAUCUUACCUGAGUCAUGAAACAUCCCCAGUUCUCCCUGUCUGGUGAGAAUAAACUGGCGUCUCAUAAGAGUCUCAGACAGGAAGAAGGAUUUGGAAUGAAUCUUAUCCCAAGGGGUAUAUUUCUGGAUGGCAUGUAGGACUCUGUCCUACUUGGAAUUCACUUAUAACCUACUUGUGUUGUAAGAACCUGGGGAAAGAAUUACUUACAUGGUCCAGGAGACUAUUUCCUCGACAGCCUGUAAGGAGCACCGUGAGCGAUGCAUAUACGUGUCACUUUUCUCGUGACUUAAAAAAUAACUGCUCUGAUUUUCAAAUCUGAUUUCAUGUUAAGUGCCCGAGUGUACUGCUUUGGACAGAAUGUUUAAUAA